rnacentral:rRNA from 1 species
CGGUGGAGCAUGUGGUUUAAUUCGAAGCAACGCGAAGAACCUUACCAGGUCUUGACAUCCCGAUGCUAUUUCUAGAGAUAGAAAGUUACUUCGGUACAUCGGUGACAGGUGGUGCAUGGUUGUCGUCAGCUCGUGUCGUGAGAUGUUGGGUUAAGUCCCGGCAACGAGCGCAACCCCUAUUGUUAGUUGCCAUCAUUCAGUUGGGCACUCUAGCGAGACUGCCGGUAAUAAACCGGAGGAAGGUGGGGAUGACGUCAAAUCAUCAUGCCCCUUAUGACCUGGGCUACACACGUGCUACAAUGGUUGGUACAACGAGUUGCGAGUCGGUGACGGCGAGCUAAUCUCUUAAAGCCAAUCUCAGUUCGGAUUGUAGGCUGCAACUCGCCUACAUGAAGUCGGAAUCGCUAGUAAUCGCGGAUCAGCACGCCGCGGUCGAAUACGUUCCGGGCCUU